CCUACGGGGGGCAGCAGUGGGGAAUAUUGCACAAUGGGGGAAACCCUGAUGCAGCGACGCCGCGUGAGUGAAGAAGUAAUUCGUUAUGUAAAGCUCUAUCAGCAGGGAAGAAAAUGACGGUACCUGAGUAAGAAGCCCCGGCUAACUACGUGCCAGCAGCCGCGGUAAUAAGUAGGGGGCAAGCGUUAUCCGGAUUUACUGGGUGUAAAGGGAGCGUAGACGGCAGUGCAAGUCUGUAGUGAAAGGCAGGGGCUCAACCCCCGGACUGCUCUGGAAACUGUACGGCUGGAGUGCAGGAGAGGUAAGUGGAAUUCCGAGUGUAGCGGUGAAAUGCGUAGAUAUUAGGAGGAACACCAGUGGCGAAGGCGGCUUACUGGACUGUAACUGACGUUGAGGCUCGAAAGCGUGGGGAGCAAACAGGAUUAGAUACCCUUGUAGUC
rnacentral:rRNA from 1 species